UACAGAGGGUGCAAGCGUUGUUCGGAAUUAUUGGGCGUAAGCGCGUGUAGGCGGCUUGUUAAGUCGGUUGUGAAACCCAUGGCUCAACCAUGGAAGUGCGUCCGAAACUGGCAAGCUAGAGUCUUGACGAGGAUGGCGGAAUUCCCAGUGUAGAGGUGAAAUUCGUAGAUAUUGGGAGGAACACCGGUGGCGAAGGCGGCCAUCUGGGGAAGGUACUGACGCUGAGACGCGAAAGCGUGGGGAUCAAACAGG
rnacentral:rRNA from 1 species